rnacentral:rRNA from 1 species
UAUGUAGGGUGCAAGCGUUGUCCGGAAUUAUUGGGCGUAACGAGCUCGUAGGCGGUCUGUCGCGUCUGCUGUGAAAACUCAGGGCUUAACCCUGAGCUUGCAGUGGGUACGGGCAGACUAGAGUGCGGUAGGGGAGACUGGAAUUCCUGGUGUAGCGGUGAAAUGCGCAGAUAUCAGGAAGAACACCCGUGGCGAAGGCGGCUCUCUGGAACGCAACUGACGCUGAGACGCGAAAGCGUGGGGAGCAAACAGG